rnacentral:miRNA from 1 species
AUGACCUAUGGAUUGACAGCCA